GAGAAUUAAGAAAAUAGUAUUUUGUGUGUAGGUGAAAAAGUGAAAAUGUGAAUAAAGAGUAAAUUUUUUGCUAAACAAGGAAAUAUCUUAAGAUAGGUGGAACGCUCAAAAAGGAAAGUGUCUCAAGAUAGGUGGGACGGAGGGAUUAUUUAUUAUGAAAAUAAAAAAUUUAUAAUAUAAAAGUAUUUACGACUAAAGAUUAAAGCUUAAAGAAAUAAUGUAUCCUAAUUACGAAAUACUCGAUCUUAAUAAUCUAUUAUUAAUUUUGAAAUUAAAAUUAAAUGGUAAAGAAAUAACUGUAUGCUUCAAGUUGGUAUAAUUAACCCUGAUUAAUACAUAAUUAAACUAAAACACAAAAUCUAAAGAUUGAAGAAAAAAAUAAUAAAAAUAUGGAAAGUAGGACAUGGUUAGGAGUGAGAGACUGAGAGUGGUCACUAAUUUACCUUCUUUUUUUGAUAAAUUUAUAAUAUUAAAUAAAGAAAUUAAAAGAUC
rnacentral:lncRNA from 1 species